rnacentral:lncRNA from 1 species
UGCCUGUAGUCUCAGCUACUUGGGAGGCUGAAGCACGAGAAUCGCUGGAACCCAGAAGGCAGAGGUUGAAGUGAGCUGAGAUCACGCCACUGCACUCCAGCCUGGGUAACAGAGCAAGGCUCUGUCUCAAUAAAAAUUAAAAAAAGUAAAAGGUAGGUGAUAAGAGAAAAAAUAAAUAUAAAGUGACAUAGAAACUCAGGAGAGCAAUUCAUUCCAGUUGGAGGGCUUAGUGAAAGCCUGUAGAGGAGGUGUCUGAAUAAAGGGCAUUCUGGGCAGAAAACAAAACAAACAAACCAAAAAAAGCCCAGCAUGAGCAAAGGCAAUAAUCUCUAAAAAACAUGGAGCGAUUGAAUUUGACUAGAGCAUCAGUGCUCAAGGUGUGGUCCUGGACCAUCAGGACCAGCAUCAUUUGAUAUCUUGUUACACAUGUAAAUCCUUAAACCCCACCCCAGGUCUACUCAAUCAAAGACUCUGUGGUAGGACCCAGCAAUUUAUGAUGUAACAAGCCCUCCAAGAGAUUCUGGUGCAUAUUCAAGUUUGGAAGUCACUGAAUCAAGGUAUAGGAUACCUGGCGUCAGAAAUCUGCUUGAAAAGUAAGAUUGGAAUAAAUAAAAGAAAAUCAACUUUAAAAGGAUAGUUAGGUGCUAGCUUUGACAGCAUACACACUAAAGUUAGAAUGACACAGAGAUUAGCAUGCCCUCUGCAAAAGGAUGAGAUGCAAUUUUGUGAAGCAUUCUAAUAUUUUUUUAAAAGGAAGGUGGAAAAAAUAGACAAAUAGGACUACAUAAAACUUAAAAACCUUUGUGUGUCAAAGAACAUAAUCAAUGAAGUAAAAAGGGAACCUAUAGAAUGGGUUGAAAUAGUAGCAAGUCAUAUCUGAAAAGGGGUUAAUGUGCAGAAUGUAUAAAGAACUCCUAAAACUCAACAAAAAAAAUCCCCAGUUUUUAAAAGGGCAAACGACUUGAACAGACAUCAUAGACAUCUCUAAAGAUGCUAUACAAGGCUGGCUGUGGUGGCUCACACCUGUAAUCCCAGUACUUUUGGAGGCCAA